UAGACAUAAAAUGCAUUUGAA
rnacentral:piRNA from 1 species